ensembl:lncRNA
CAAAUACAGUUAGGUAAUUUUAAUAAGACAUAAAGCGUGAGGAAUUAGGAGCUGUCAUUAUAUAUGACUGAUUUUGAAUUAGGAAGACAAAGAAAAAACUACAAUGAUUCAGAUUCUGUCGUGUGGAAGCAUUUAGAGUGGGUCUCUGAAUAAAGAAAAUCUAAGUGCUUUGGCCUACUGUGGUUGCUGUACAUAAAUGCAAUGAAUAAAUGUCUAAGGAAAUAACCUGACAAGUUCACUAGAAUUUCCACCUGGAAUAUGUAAGGAAAACAAAAAAAUUAAGGAACACUUACAUAUCUUAUUAAAAUAUUAAAAAAAUCAUGUAUAGCACUUGGAAGUUAUAAAGUACUUGAUAUAUUUUACUUAUUUGACGACGAUAAAUGCAGGUAACUCACCAGUUUUCCUCAAAAUCUGAAACCCCUUGUAAAAGAUGUAUCAGAAUAAGCUGUCAUAUAUCACACCCUGUUUUUGGAUGAUUCAGAAUUCUUUUACUAUUAAGCCUGUCUCUGCUUAAAACACUGAGAUACACAUCGUCAGAGAUAAAUCACAGAUAGAUGAAUAUGUUGCUCAUCCAAUCUAUUCCCACAUUAAUACGACGGCAGAACUGUCUCAUUCUUGAGGCCUGGAGCACAUUCCCCCUCUAGGAGUUUGGCUGGGUCAGCCAAGGAGUUUACAAGUCCAAAGUCAGCUUUAUGGUCAGAGCUGUUGCAAAGAAUCUAGAAGCAAGGCCCUGUCCCUCCUUUCCCCUUGGGUAGAUUUUUAAGUUGGAGCUAUACUGCCAGCCUCUGCCUGGGCUACAUCACAGCUGUGCUGCAGCAAGGUCUGUAUUUGGGCCUGGACCUCCACUGUCUGGACCUGGACCCAGACUCAUCAGCUUGGCUUCUUGGAACAAGCUUGGACCUGCAUAGUGGCCAUGCUGGGUGCUCACUGAGCUGUGUUUGACCCUGGCUCCCAUCUCUGCCUCAGGUCCUGAUCUGAACUUAUUACUCCACAUUCUGGCUCCUCAUGGUGAGGUUACUGCUCCUGCCUGUCUUGCUAUUGCUCUCCACUCUUGG